rnacentral:tRNA from 1 species
GCGGGGAUAGCUCAGCUUGGGAGAGCGCCGCACUGAAGAUGCGGUUGUCGUGGGUUCAAGUCCCACUCCCCGCA